GCGGGAAUGGUGGAAUUGGCAGACACGCUAGACUUAGGAUCUAGUGCCUUUUGGCAUGGGGGUUCAACUCCCCCUUUCCGCA
rnacentral:tRNA from 1 species